rnacentral:lncRNA from 1 species
ACCCAUUUGAUAAGUCUAGCAUAAAACAUACAUAGGCUUAGCAUCGAAACUUCUACAAUUUCAAGUUCUAUUUUAACCUCCAUUUCACAAAAAGAGUUCCAUUUUAACAUUCUGAAGUUAAACCGUCUCAUUCUCAAAUUCAAAAGCAACCAUGAAUAUUUCAACUAUUAAAAGCGUACAACUAAUUACAAAAUUUGUUGUUAUCAAAACUUAAAUAAAUUUUUAACAACUUUAAAUUUU